UGUGGGGGCAGUUCAGUGUGCUUGCAGGUUAAUAUGCGCAUGUGCCUCUACUGUACAUGUGUCUAUUAAAGCAGAGUCAGUACUCAGAGAGAGACAGAGACAGACAGAGAGACAGAGAGAUAGACAGACAGACAGACAGACAGACAGACAGACAGACAGACAGACAGACAGACAGACAGACAGACAGACAGACAGACAGACAGACAGACAGACAGACAGACAGACAGACAGACAGACAGAGAGACAGAGAGACAGACAGACAGACAGACAGACAGACAGACAGACAGACAGACAGACAGACAGACAGACAGAGAGACAGACAGACAGACAGACAGACACCAUGUCUCCCUCCCAGUCCUCCCUACUGCUGCUGCUGAUGGUCUCCUGCUCCUGGGCCUCCCACUUCUUAGGAGGAACCAUGACCUUCAACCCCAGAGGGACCAACCCAGAUGGGACCUACAGGAUUGGAUAGCUGUUGCUGGAUAGACAAUGAUAAUGAUGUUUAUUUUUGGAGGCUGUUGACUCAUGUGGAUCUUGGGGUCAGGUCUGACACGGGGACAGUCAACCGAUCUCCACAGACCACUGUCAUACCUCUGAUGAGUGUCCCUGCUAAUUGUCAAAGAGAUUUCAACCUGUUGCUGUUUGAUCCAGAUGGGGAUAUGGUCAGAUGCAGAUACGCAGUACCAACGGAUGAGUGUUACACAUCAAGUGACCUUCCUAAUGACUUCACUCUACGAGAGAACUGCACCUUGUCAUUUUGGGGCAACAGUAAUACCACUGGAACAUAUGUAGUUCAGAUGGUGAUGGAGGAUUUCCCGACUCAGUCCAUCUCUCUCUCCUAUACUGACGGAUCUCAAUCUAACAGGACCUCAAACAAUACACUCUGCAAACUGCCUGUUCAGUUUGCAGUGAGAGUGGACCCCCCGGUGACAUCCUGUAUGGAGGGGCUGUACCUACCCAUGUUCCUGUCUCCAACACCAGCCCAGGGUGCACUGCUGUACGCCUCUGCAGACCAACCCCUGGAAAUCACUGUCAGAGCACAGGCUACCAACUCCACGGUUUCAGAGCUGUUGGUGAGUGGACCUUCCGGUAUCACAGAGAACACCACUGAUCCAGGAGAGUACCUUCUAAGAUGGACGCCCACUGAGGAUGAGGAGGGAGGGUACUAUCCUGUGUGCUUCAUCGCUCAGGGAGUGAACGACAGUUCCACGUACCACUCUGAGCUGCGCUGUGUGAUCGUCAGGGUUGGAAACACAAGCGGAGACGUUGUUGUACUGAGGACAAAAGUGUCCGCUCUGAUCCCACUGACAGAUAAUUACAUCAGAAACAUGGUGUUUCAGCAGCUCCGUGAGGAACUGAUCAGACUAGGGCUGCCAGGGGACUUCACGCUACGCCUGUUAGCCACUCAUGACAUCAGUCCCUGAGGGAGGAACAGGAAAUCAGCUCGACUUUCUUCACUUCUACUUGUCUUUUCUUCCUGGUUCUGAUUCUGCAGAUAGUUCUUUUGAAGAAGGAGUGAUUCCUUAUAAUGACAGAAUACGGUUGAUUUGUAAUAAUCUCCUGUGGGUUGCCAAGAUUAGUUGAAUUAACUGACACUACGUCUUACUGGAUGUUAGUUGAAUGAUUUAAAAGUAAAUGAUUUAUGUCUACAAGAAGAAAUGCAACAUAAAUAUGAUUGGUAAUGUACAGAGGUAGACUGAGGUUCUUUCCUGUUUGGUAAUGUACAGAGGUAGACUGAGGUUCUUUCCUGUAGACAGGUUAUUAAACAUUGGGAGAUAUAAUGUUGUUUUCCUUAAGGUGUGAAUCAUAUAGACUGUGUUUGAUUAGGCUUAGAGGACAAGGCCUUAGGAGGUUGAUAAUGAGACGUUAUAAUGGUAAAAUGUUAUAAUGUUGAAAUGUUUAAAAUAUUGAUGUAUUGAGAUAUAACUUGAGUAAUAAAUUAGGUUGUAGAAAGACUAUAAUUUAGUUAAAGGUAGGAGGGUGAAGGGAAUAGGAAAGUUUCAUGUUUGAAAAAUGUAUGUUUUAAGAAGUUGAUGUUCAUGAAGUAUAUUAAGGGUGCUAGCUUGAUCUGGAAAUCCCCAGGUCAGAGCAGCAAGUAGGUUGAAGCGUACGUUCUGCCUAGGUGGGAAAACGUGGAGGUUAGUGGGGGCUGAAAAAGCACCUUUUGAGAAGAUGGAUGCAUUCAUUAGGUGUUAACCACCGAAGGCAUCAGUGGAGCAGGUGGUCAUCCUGAUGAUUUAUCAGAAGAGGCAUUAAGGGUAUAAAGGAAGCAGGUUUCAUGGGAAGGGAAUGACUCUCUUUGAGUUUGCUAGAAGAACCUGUCGUCUGCUGGAGAAAGACUUUUACUGAAGCUUUUUAACUUCAGAUUCAUUUAGAUUUUUAAUAUACUUGGUUUUUUAUUCUGAAAGUGUUCUAGUACAUUCUAGGAGGAACCCUGAAUGUUACCUCAUUGAUAGGAGUGUUCUAGUACAUUCUAGGAGGAACCCUAAAGGUUACCUCAUUGAUAGGAGUGUUCUAGUACAUUUUAGGAGGAACCCUGAAGGUUACCUCAUUGAUAGAAGUGUUCUAGUACAUUUUAGGAGGAACCCUGAAGGUUACCUCACUGAUAGGAGUGUUCUAGUACAUUCUAGGAGGAACCCUGAAGGUUACCUCAUUGAUAGGAGUGUUCUAGUACAUUCUAGGAGGAACCCUAAAGGUUACCUCAUUGAUAGGAGUGUUCUAGUACAUUCUAGGAGGAACCCUGAAGGUUACCUCAUUGAUAGGAGUGUUCUAGUACAUUCUAGGAGGAGCCCUAAAGGUUACCUCACUGAUAGGAG
rnacentral:lncRNA from 1 species